CAGUAAAGGAGCUUGCUCCUUUGACGUUAGCGGCGGACGGGUGAGUAACACGUGGGUAACCUACCUAUAAGACUGGGUAACUUCGGGAAACCGGAGCUAAUACCGGAUAAUAUUUCGAACCGCAUGGUUCGAUAGUGAAAGAUGGUUUUGCUAUCACUUAUAGAUGGGACCCGCGCCGUAUUAGCUAGUUGGUAAGGUAACGGCUGACCAAGGCGACGAUACGUAGCCGACCUGGAGAGGGUGAUCGGCCACACUGGAACUGAGACACGGUCCAGACUCCUACGGGAGGCAGCAGUAGG
rnacentral:rRNA from 1 species